GAAAUGCGAUAAGUAAUGUGAAUUGCAGAAUUCAGUGAAUCAUCGAAUCUUUGAACGCACCUUGCGCUCCUUGGUAUUCCGAGGAGCAUGCCUGUUUGAGUGUCAUGGAAUUCUCAACUCUAUUUGCUUUUGUGAAUAGAGCUUGGAUUUGGAGGUUUAUUGCUGGUACUUGUGAUCGGCUCCUCUUGAAUGCAUUAGCUCGAACCUUUGCGGAUCAGCUAUCGGUGUGAUAAUUGUCUACGCCGUUGCAGUGAAGCAUAUCAAUGGGCUCGGCUUCCAAUCGUCCUUUACUGGACAAUGACUUUGACCUUUGACCUCAAAUCAGGUAGGAUUACCCGCUGAACCUAAGC
rnacentral:misc_RNA from 1 species